AGUGAACGCUGGCGGUAGGCCUAACACAUGCAAGUCGAACGGCCGCACAGUAAGAGCUUGCUCUUACGGGUGGCGAGUGGCGGACGGGUGAGGAAUACAUCGGAAUCUACUUUUUCGUGGGGGAUAACGUAGGGAAACUUACGCUAAUACCGCAUACGACCUACGGGUGAAAGCAGGGGAUCUUCGGACCUUGCGCGAUUGAAUGAGCCGAUGUCGGAUUAGCUAGUUGGCGGGGUAAAGGCCCACCAAGGCGACGAUCCGUAGCUGGUCUGAGAGGAUGGUCAGCCACACUGGAACUGAGACACGGUCCAGACUCCUACGGGAGGCAGCAGUGGGGAAUAUUGGACAAUGGGCGCAAGCCUGAUCCAGCCAUACCGCGUGGGUGAAGAAGGCCUUCGGGUUGUAAAGCCCUUUUGUUGGGAAAGAAAAGCAGCAGGUUAAUACCCCGCUGCUCUGACGGUACCCAAAGAAUAAGCACCGGCUAACUUCGUG
rnacentral:rRNA from 1 species